GAUGAACGCUAGCUACAGGCUUAACACAUGCAAGUCGAGGGGCAGCAUGGUCUUAGCUUGCUAAGGCCGAUGGCGACCGGCGCACGGGUGAGUAACACGUAUCCAACCUGCCGUCUACUCUUGGACAGCCUUCUGAAAGGAAGAUUAAUACAAGAUGGCAUCAUGAGUCCACAUGUUCACAUGAUUAAAGGUAUUCCGGUAGACGGUGGGGAUGCGUUCCAUUAGAUAGUAGGCGGGGUAACGGCCCACCUAGUCUUCGAUGGAUAGGGGUUCUGAGAGGAAGGUCCCCCACAUUGGAACUGAGACACGGUCCAAACUCCUACGGGAGGCAGCAGUGAGGAAUAUUGGUCAAUGGGCGAGAGCCUGAACCAGCCAAGUAGCGUGAAGGAUGACUGCCCUAUGGGUUGUAAACUUCUUUUAUAAAGGAAUAAAGUCGGGUAUGGAUACCCGUUUGCAUGUACUUUAUGAAUAAGGAUCGGCUAACUCCGUGCCAGCAGCCGCGGUAAUACGGAGGAUCCGAGCGUUAUCCGGAUUUAUUGGGUUUAAAGGGAGCGUAGAUGGAUGUUUAAGUCAGUUGUGAAAGUUUGCGGCUCAACCGUAAAAUUGCAGUUGAUACUGGAUAUCUUGAGUGCAGUUGAGGCAGGCGGAAUUCGUGGUGUAGCGGUGAAAUGCUUAGAUAUCACGAAGAACUCCGAUUGCGAAGGCAGCCUGCUAAGCUGCAACUGACAUUGAGGCUCGAAAGUGUGGGUAUCAAACAGGAUUAGAUACCCUGGUAGUCCACACGGUAAACGAUGAAUACUCGCUGUUUGCGAUAUACAGCAAGCGGCCAAGCGAAAGCGUUAAGUAUUCCACCUGGGGAGUACGCCGGCAACGGUGAAACUCAAAGGAAUUGACGGGGGCCCGCACAAGCGGAGGAACAUGUGGUUUAAUUCGAUGAUACGCGAGGAACCUUACCCGGGCUUAAAUUGCAGAUGAAUUACGGUGAAAGCCGUAAGCCGCAAGGCAUCUGUGAAGGUGCUGCAUGGUUGUCGUCAGCUCGUGCCGUGAGGUGUCGGCUUAAGUGCCAUAACGAGCGCAACCCUUGUUGUCAGUUACUAACAGGUUCCGCUGAGGACUCUGACAAGACUGCCAUCGUAAGAUGUGAGGAAGGUGGGGAUGACGUCAAAUCAGCACGGCCCUUACGUCCGGGGCUACACACGUGUUACAAUGGGGGGUACAGAGGGCCGCUACCACGCGAGUGGAUGCCAAUCCCAAAAACCUCUCUCAGUUCGGACUGGAGUCUGCAACCCGACUCCACGAAGCUGGAUUCGCUAGUAAUCGCGCAUCAGCCACGGCGCGGUGAAUACGUUCCCGGGCCU
rnacentral:rRNA from 1 species